rnacentral:lncRNA from 1 species
GUGGCUGCCAUGCUUGGGAAUGCAGUUGCCAUCUUGUAUCCAUGAGGGGGACUCACACUAAAGGGCACUUUUGCCCAUCGUGAUGAAGGUGAAAAAAUGGAGAGAAGCUGCUGCUGUUGUUUAGUAGCUACCUUUGCUACCUUGCAGUUUACUUGUUAGGUGGGCAGAGCCAAGGUGCUGUCCCUACCCCUUCUUCCUGGGGCCUCCAGAGAUCCUGAGCUCACCCUCCUGACCUGCCUGUCGGUUCUGGCCCUCACGUCCUGUUUGCUGUACCUACUUUAUCCCAUGUCACCAUCUCCAUGCCCCAGCCUGGUGACAAUCCCACUUCCUACCCAUUCCAUUGGCUUCUCCAUUUGACUUGGAGCUCUUCAGCUGGAUCGAGACAACUACUCUGAUGAAUGCCACGUCACUGGGUCAACAGAAUGGGCCCAAUCAUGGCAGUUAUCAAGAAAGAAACCACAGUGAACCACGGCUGGAACAUUGCACACCCGACAGAGAAGAAAAGCCUUGGCCAGGCACGGUGGCUCACGCCUGUAAUCCCAGCACUUU